rnacentral:rRNA from 1 species
GACGAACGCUGGCGGCGUGCUUAACACAUGCCAGUCGAACGGAAAGGCCCUGCUUUUGUGGGGUGCUCGAGUGGCGAACGGGUGAGUAACACGUGAGUAACCUGCCCUUGACUUUGGGAUAACUUCAGGAAACUGGGGCUAAUACCGGAUAGGAGCUCCUGCUGCAUGGUGGGGGUUGGAAAGUUUCGGCGGUUGGGGAUGGACUCGCGGCUUAUCAGCUUGUUGGUGGGGUAGUGGCUUACCAAGGCUUUGACGGGUAGCCGGCCUGAGAGGGUGACCGGCAACAUGGGGGCUGGGAUACGGCCCAGCGUCCUCCGGGGGGAAGCAGGGGGGAAGUUUGCCCAAGGGGCGGAAGCCGUAUGCCGCAACCCCGGGGGGGGGAGGACGGCCUUCGGGUUUGAACCCGCUUUCGCCUGUGACAAAGGGGGGGGGAGGGGAAUGGGUAAAGAAGCACCGGCUAACUACGU